UCUUUGUCCCUUAGGUUUCCUUUUUUGGCAUAGGCAGUUUGCCAGCCCCCUACAUUCUCAGUCUGAUUUCCUCAUCCCAGUCAUUAUGGGAGGCAAGUGCUACUGAUCAUUGCACAGACAAGGAAAUUCAGGUCACAGCAAUAAGAGCCAUAGAGUCAAUUCGUUUGUUCCCAGGUUCUUGGGGCUUGAAAAGAUCCCUUUAUGGAGUGAAGCCACUUUUUCUCAAGGUUCUGAAACUCGCGCUGCUCUAGCCUGAGGCUUCCAGAAGUGCCCUACAGGUGCCUGAGUGUGCAGGCCUGCUGCCUGCAAGUGUGCCCAGCGGGUGCAGGGUUUGGCGUGUAUCGGUGUGACCAGGAGCUAAGAGACUGGGGCACAGCCUCUCCCCAACACGGACUCUAUUUCCCCACACGCUCACUCCGCCUCCCUCAACUUCAGUCUUCUUUCUCUAUAAUUAGCACAGGGAUCACUGCCUCUAUUUUCUUAGAGGCAUUGUUCAUUGCUCGCCCCUCACCCGGUUACUCAGAUUGUCCAGCCCAUCCAGGGCAGUAGAUGUGUUUCUAAAGGAGAAGGUGCUAACAAUGGAAAGAAAGACUGUGAAAGACCUACUCUUUCAGAAGCUUGAAGGAAACCAAGAGGAGAGCUUGCUCUGCUUUGUGCCCUAAUGGUGGAGUUUUAAGGCAGGUGAGGACAGAAUCU
rnacentral:lncRNA from 1 species